rnacentral:misc_RNA from 1 species
CAUUCAGUAGCCCAGCUACUUGUUUACACCCUUGUUUUUUUGCGUACUUAUCGUUUCCUCGGCGGGCUUGCCUGCCGGUUGGACAACUUUAUAACCUUUUUUAAAUCUUCAAUCAGCGUCUGAAUCUGUUAAUAUACAAUAAUUA